UGCCGGAUAGCUCACUUGGUAAAGCGUUGCGAAGCAGAAGUGACAUUCACGUCGCGGGUUCGAUCCCCGCUUCGUAC